UACGUAGGGUGCGAGCGUUAAUCGGAAUUACUGGGCGUAAAGCGUGCGCAGGCGGUUCGUUAAGUCAGCUGUGAAAUCCCCGGGCUUAACCUGGGAACUGCAUUUGUGACUGCAUAGCUAGAGUACGGUAGAGGGGGAUGGAAUUCCGCGUGUAGCAGUGAAAUGCGUAGAUAUGCGGAGGAACACCGAUGGCGAAGGCAAUCCCCUGGACCUGUACUGACGCUCAUGCACGAAAGCGUGGGGAGCAAACAGG
rnacentral:rRNA from 1 species